GACGAACGCUGGCGGCGUGCUUAACACAUGCAAGUCGAACGGAAAGGCCCUGCUUGCAGGGUGCUCGAGUGGCGAACGGGUGAGUAACACGUGGGUGAUCUGCCCCUUACUUUGGGAUAAGCCUGGGAAACUGGGUCUAAUACUGGAUAGGACCAUGCUGUAGGUGGUGUGGUGGAAAGAUUAGUUUCGGUAAGGGAUGAGCUCGCGGCCUAUCAGCUUGUUGGUGGGGUAAUGGCCUACCAAGGCGUCGACGGGUAGCCGGCCUGAGAGGGUGGACGGCCACAUUGGGACUGAGAGACGGCCCAGACUCCUACGGGAGGCAGCAGUGGGGAAUAUUGCACAAUGGGCGAAAGCCUGAUGCAGCGACGCCGCGUGGGGGAUGACGGCCUUCGGGUUGUAAACUCCUUUCAGCCAUGACGAAGCCCUUGUGGUGACGGUAGUGGUAGAAGAAGCACAGGCUAACUACGUG
rnacentral:rRNA from 1 species